AGAGCGAUUACAAACUCAUCCGAUCCGAUUCCGUGAAAAUAUGGAUAUAAAAAGCUCGGAACGAACUCUGAUAUUGCUUACGUAUAAUCCGAUCUCUGAUCCAAAUCUAAGCUAACUAGCCUCGAUUGCUC